rnacentral:rRNA from 1 species
AACAAGUAUUAAAGGCAACGCCUGCCCAGUGAAUAAUUAAACGGCCGCGGUACCCUAACCGUGCAAAGGUAGCAUAAUCAUUUGUCUACUAACUGUAGACCUGUAUGAAAGGCAAAAUGAGGGUUAAGCUGUCUCUUAUAAUAGAUCUAUAAAACUGAUCUCCUAGUAAAAAAGCUAGGAUGAUAACAUAAGACCAGAAGACCCUGUGAAGCUUAAAUCAAACUAUUAAACCAAAUAAUAAUUACUUUCGGUUGGGGCGACCUUGGAAAUAAAAAGAACUUCCAACUACCAAUGCUUUAACAUUGUACCAGGCCCACAAGCCAAUUAAACGACCCAGUAAAACUGACAAUUGAACAAAGUUACUCCAGGGAUAACAGCGCUAUCUUCUUCAAGAGCCCAUAUCAAAAAGAAGGUUUACGACCUCGAUGUUGGAUCAGGACAUCCUAAUGGUGCAACCGCUAUUAAAGGUUCGUUUGUUCAACGAUUAAUGUCCUACGUG